rnacentral:tRNA from 2 species
GAAACCAUCUUUCCUCGGUG